rnacentral:rRNA from 1 species
UUCUUAUAGUCUUUUUGACUAAGGCAUCAAAUGCUCUUUGGCUAACACCAAACUGGUGUUAGUAUAACUCUGUUUGUCUCUUUUCUUUAUUUGUGUAAGUUUUCGAUUCAAUCUAAGGCAGAAAUUUUCUCCCACAAUCCAUUUUCAAGGUUGGCCUAUUUGUGGCUGGGACUGAGACGCUGCCUAGACUCCUAUGAGGGGCAGCAGUGGGGAAUUUUCCACAAUGGGUUAAAGCAUAACAAAGCGUGGAGGUAGAAGGCCUACGGGUCGUGAACUUCUUUUCUAGGAAAAUAAGCAAUGACGAUAUAUGGGGAAUAAGUAUCGGCUAACUCUGAGCCAGCACCGGUGGUAAUACAGAAGAUGCAAGCGUUAUCAGGAAUGAUUAGGUGUAAAGCUUAUGUAGGUGGCUUUUUAAGUUCGCCGUCUAAUUUGAGGCUCAACUCUGGACAAACGGUGGAAACUACCAAGCUAGAGUUCAGUAGGGGCAAAAGGAAUUUUUCGGUGGAAUGGUGAAAUGUGUAGAGAUUGGAAAGAACACCAAUGGCGAAAGCACUCUAAUGGGCUGACACUGACAUUGAUAGACAAAAGCUACAGGAGCAAAUGAGAUUCGAUACCCAAGGUUUAAGAUGAAAGGGAAAUAAGAUCUUGAUCUGAAUGUCGUCUGUUAACCGACUUU